UUUUAAUUCAACAGAAUAUUGCUGCUGGUGGUCAUUUUACUCACAAUAUCAACACUGUGCCCUGCAAAAUGCAGACUCCAAUACAGUGCCCAAGCUGCCAUUCUUCCUCAAGAGUUAGUGAAUCAACAUGUCUGGGUCAUGUUCAUUUGGGCACACCGUACCAAAACGUUUUGCAACAGAACAUUUGCGCUUAUUGGACAAGUCCAGGUAUUCCCUCCCUGUUUCAGUCUGUUAGUCCCUUAUGAACACGACCCUGAGGUUAACAACCUCAACAACCAUAAAUUGCCAUCUUACUCAUGACUUUAACCAUAGCUUAUUCCAGUGCAACCUUAACUCACUCUGAAUAGGGCCAGGAGUUUUUCCCUGACCAGGGACCCUGGUUAGGGUUGCAAAAUUCAGUGAACUUUCAAUAAAUUCCCUGGGUUUUCCAGAAAUUCAGGUUGGAGGAUUCUGGAUUUCCUGCUUAUUCCCUCCUGAUUCCGGGAAUCCUCCAACCGGUAUUUCAGGGAAUUUAUUGAAAGUUCCUGGAAUUCUGCAACCAGCCCCAUUUAAAGCCUAUAACUAUGGCCAAAAGUUUUUCCCUGGGCAGGGAAAACUCCUGCCUCCAAUGACCAUCAGAAGGUGAUCUAACUGGUGGGAGGUCAGGACAUCCCAUCAGAAGGUGGUGAUCUAACUGGUGGGAGGUCAGGACAUCCCAUCAGAAGGUGAUCUAACUGGUGGGAGGUCAGGACAUCCCAUCAGAAGGUGAUCUAACUGGUGGGAGGUCAGGACAUCCCAUCAGAAGGUGGUGAUCUAACUGGUGGGAGGUCAGGACAUCCCAUCAGAAGGUGAUCUAACUGGUGGGAGGUCAGGACAUCCCAUCAGAAGGUGGUGAUCUAACUGGUGGGAGAUCAGGACAUCCCAUCAGAAGGUGAUCUAACUGGUGGGAGGUCAGGACAUCCCAUCAGAAGGUGAUCUAACUGGUGGGAGGUCAGGACAUCCCAUCAGAAGGUGAUCUAACUGGUGGGAGGUCAGGACAUCCCAUCAGAAGGUGAUCUAACUGGUGGGAGGUCAGGACAUCCCAUCAGAAG
rnacentral:lncRNA from 1 species